CUGAUGUGACUCUGGGCAAGUCACUUAACCUCUCUCUGCCUCAGUUUUCUGAGCUGUAAGUCAAGGAUUAUCAUAACAUUUCCCUUAGGGGCUGGGGUGAGAAAUGAACAAGAUAAUGUAACAUAAAGUGUUCACUCCGCACGGGGCCCUGCACAAAAGCAGUACUCAAAAAAUGUUGGCUAUUACCGACAGACACGAUGCACACCAACAUUUACGCACGACACACAUUUGACUGGUUUUGUCUAGAACUUUGUCAAACUUGGCUAAUUACGAUCGCUAGGAAAAAUGAGAGGGAAUUAACGGUUCUCUAGCAGGGCUGGGAAGACCGAACCCGGCAGCUUAGAGAUAAAAGAUCCACCUUAUGACCUGACCUUGGAAGCCUUCCUGCCCUUCACACUGAUGUCAACGGGGCUGGUCAACAAGAAAUGAAACUUCCUGGGCCCCUACUACGUGCCAGGCACAGCGUGAGACCCUAUCUCUUGCUGGGUGAGGAAACAGGGUGCAAACACUCGGCGUGUGGAAAGCGGUGCGCGUGCUGAGGCCGUGCUUGGGGCACCGCCUGCUUUUCCUGGCUUUACGGCUUCUUCCUAAACUGAGGCCUCCGAAUUGAGGCUGUAGGUACGGGAGGCUCUUCCUUCAAUUUCGGGACAGCAGCUCAGGGGACAGGAGGACACAAGCCACGUGCCUCGGGGCCUGAAUUCACUUCAGAAGCCGGACGUCCCCAUGGAUACUCGGGAACCGGACAGACCCCCCUGGGAAGGUUUGCUGGUGGCUUUGACCUUGGUGCCUGAGACUCAGUUUCCCAUUCUGCCGGCCGGGGGCGAUGACCUAGCCCCUCAGCCAAGCCCACCUGGCUCACAAAACAUGGAGUGACUGACGUGGGAGCGCCUCGGAUCCUCACAUCCCUAGCUCUUCAGGCUCUCCCUUAGUUUUGCAUGUGCAUGUAAAUGGUAACGAGUAAGGCGAGAUUUGCUGUAAAUAACCAGAUGGUCCCCACAGGGUAGGCUGCAGGUGAGAUGGAAAUUCUAGCAGGAGAUCUCACAGCCCAAACUUUGCCAAUCUAAACUCAUCUUUGGUUUAGCGUAUCAGAACCAGCAAACAGAAGGGGAAAGUGGACCCAAAGCUCUGUGCUUGCCCUCAUGACCCUGAGGUCAGGGGCUGUGAGUUGACACCUGCUUCCUGUCAGUACCAGAGGCGUGGCCUCCGAUGCGCACAGACUUUUCCUCCACGGGUUAGUCACGGGGAGAAGCAGACCAUCCCCAGCCCUCUAACUGGCUCCCGGUAACUGGUGGAGGAGCCCAGGUAUGGACUAUGUGGAUCACUGAAGCUCCGCACCCCUGCUUUACAGGAGACGCCACCUGGUAAUUCUUACUGCAGAGUAAGUAAGCGUGGAGUGGGGGGUAGGUAGGGUGACCAUAUUGUCAAAGUGGAGUGCGUUUCAGAAUUUAAGGAGCUGCUGUUAAUCAUCUCAGACCCACAGGCACAAUCUGGACUGUCUCUGGAAAAGAGGGCCAUCAGGUAACCCUACCUUUAGGCCAACCUGUACCCCACUCCACUAAAGAUCUCAGUGUUGAAGUGCCCUGUGAUUCAGUGCUUGGACCUCUUUUUUCUUUUAUUUAUUUAUUUUUAAUGUCUAUUUGUUUUUGAGAGAGAGAGAGAGCGAGAGCAGGGGAGGAGCAGAGAGAGAGGGAGACACAGAAUCUGAAGGAGGCUCCAGGCUCUGAGCUGUCGGCACAGAGCCCGUUGCGGGGCUCGAGCUCACAGACUGCGAGAUCAUGACCUGAGCCGAAGUCGGACGCUUAACCGUCUGAGCCACCCAGGCGCCCCCCCCACCCCCUUUUUAAAAAAAUCUUACAUAGUCCCCAUACCGGUGCUGUCCAGUGGAAUUGCAAUGAUGGAAAUGCUCUACAUCCGUACUGUCCAAUAUAAUAGCCACUAGUCAAAUGUAGCUGUCGAGUACUUGAAAUGCAGCUGAUGUAACUAAGUAAGUCAACUUUAAGUUUUACUUAAUUUUAAUUAAUAUACAUUUAAAUGGCCGCAUCUGGCUAGUGGUUACUAUUCCGGACAGUGCAGACCCAGAUAAUUUUUUUUUUUCCCAGCCAGGCUCAUGGCUUUAAGUACCACCCACAGAUUCUGACCCCCAAAUCUGUCUAGCCACCCCAACCUCUCCCCUCACAUCCAGAUCCAUAUAUCCAAUUUGAUGUAUUUACUUGGAUGUCUAAUAGGCAUUUCAAACUUAACACAGGCAAAACUAACCUUCUGAUCACAAUAUGAUACCACUUCAAGCCCAUUUAGUAGGGCUAUUAAAAAACAAACAAAGAGAAAGCAGCAAGUGUUGGCAAGGACUCCUGCACACUGCUAAUGGGAAUGUAAAAUGGUGCAGCUGCUGUGGAAAAUGAUAGGGCAGUUCUUAAAAAAUGUAGACAGAAUUAUCAUAUAAUUGAGGCAUUCUACUCCCAGGUAUCUAUCCCAAAGAACCAAAAGCAGGGACUCGAACAGACAUUUGUACGCCCAUGUUCAGAGUAGCGUUAUUCACGAUGGCGGAAAGGUGGAAGAAGGCCAAGUGUCCGUCCACGGACGAACGUGGUCCAUACACACAAUGGAAUAUUGUUCGGCCUUAAACAAGAAGGGGAUUCUGACAUGCUAUAAUGUGGAUGCACCUUGAAGUUCAUCCAUGAUGCUGAGUGAAGUAAGCCGGUCGCAAAAGAACAAACACUGUGAGAGUCCUCACUGACGUGAGGUUCCUAGAGCAGUCAACUCACAGAGACAGAAUCAAUGGAGGCAAAAAACCAGGAGAUCCCAUAAAUCCCGUCGAGCUCGUCACAGCUGCCAAAUUAUGCCCUGAUAAAGCUUUUGGUGGCUAACGAUAUGGCCGUUCACCCGGAGUGGAUGCGGCUGGGAGGGAGGUUUCUGGAGAGCGCCUGGACCACGGUGGAGACACUUGUCAUGAAGCGUUAUCUGAAGGCCCUCUGGCCCUAAUGAAGGGUGAAGCUUUGAACGUGAUUAUUUCUAAACAAAUAAAUAAUAAGGAUAACUUAAAAAUAAACAGAGAUCUCGA